GGGCAUAUGGUGUAGGGGUUAUCACGUUCGCUUUGCAUUUCCCUCUCUUGUCUCUUAAUGCGAAAGGUCUCUGGUUCAAAUUCGGAUUAGGCCU
rnacentral:tRNA from 1 species